UAACGGAUCAAAGAAUUUUGAUGUAGCACUGACCACGUUACGCUUGGUAGGUUCCAUGACUUAGGCUGGGUGAGCUAUUUCUUGUAAGUUGAACAUAAAUUCAUCUGUGGAAUAGUUCCAUUCAACACCAAGUAUACGUUGUGUAGAAGAUUGGUCACAUGAUCUGUGGUAGGUCCCCAAGGUGGUCUUGGCAAAGGUUAUGCCAUCUUCCUGUGAUGAACAUGUAGUUUUUUGUGGGUUGGCACCAUUGGUUUCAUUGUUGUCGAUAUGUAAUUUGGUAGUGGGGUGAUUGGUUCGAAACUUUCUCAAGUUAAAUCCCCCUUGUGCUAGAAUUGAUUUUGACAGAUUAUACAAUUCAAAGGCUUCAUCUUCACUGGCUGUGCUAGCUGUAACGUCAUCAGCAUAAAUGGCCCUCAUAAAGGUUUUAACAAAUUCCGGAUUGGAAUCCUCAAAUUGCUCCAUAUGGUAUUUGAUGGUGGCGUUGAGGAGAAUGGUGAUGAACUGACUCCAAAAACAACUCUUGUAAAACGAAGCGUUGAGAUUUCUGGGUCUUCUUUGUGAAUGUUGUCAUACCAGAGAAAGCGAACAACAUCUCUAUCUUCUUCAGGUAAGCUGAUCACCAGAAAAGCCCUUUCAAUGUCACCAGUUAUGGCUAGUCGAUGGGAUCGAAACCUGAGGAUUAUGUCGAAUAUUUUCUGGGUUCAAGGAGGUUCCUGCUUAAAGGCAAUCAUUCAAUGAUGGGGUGAAGUUAGUUUUGGAUGACGCAUCAUAAACGAUUCGGAUUUUGGUGGUGGAAUGGUCUUGUCGAAUAACUCGAUGGUGUGUUAGGUGAUGGAUGAGUCCCAAGCAGUUGUCUUUAGUUGCAUCGCUGACCACUUCUAUGAUAGCCUGGUUUAGUUGAUCUCGGAUGACUCUGUCAUAUUCUUCAAGUAAAGGUGGGUUAGAUUUCAAUCUCUGGAAACAACUCUUGAGCUUUCUGAAACACAUUUGGUAAUUAUCAGACAAGGUUGGGUGUGGUUUCUUCCAAGGGAGUUUGACUUCAUAUCUUCCAUCUUUGAAGUUUAUGGUUUGAGUGAGUUUUUCAUAAAUGGAGGUCUGUUUAACACCAAUAGCUUCUAAAUCCCAGAAUUGCUUUAGCUGUUCCUCUAGUCCUAUGUGGAGAGCAGUCACGAAUAUGAGAUCUUCAUUUUGUUCUUCCUCAGUGGUGUAGGUUGGUCCAGACAAGAUCCACUCUAAAGACGUCUCCACUGCUGUGGGGCCUGGCUCCCUGGAUACCACUCGUUCAGUGACAAAAUCCCAGUAGUGGUCUGCACCCACGAGUAUAUGAAUGGCACCACCGGGUUCGGGCUCUGGAUAAUCUGCUAAGGUUAACGAACUCAAAUAACUGUGUGUAGAUUUGAUUUGGUUUACAUCAUAAUAUUUAGGGGGUUGACAGAUUAAUGGCUAGCACUGGUUGGAGGUGCCCGCCUUUGGUUUGGACUACAAUUUCUACGACAUCUAUUUCCUAAGUGAUUUCUUCAUCAGACCCAAAAAUCUUGAUGCUAAUGGAUUUCCUGUCAAUAGCGGAUAGGUUCAAGUCUCUUUGUAAUAUUUGGGUUAUGGAAGUCCGCUGGCUUCCAGUAUCAAAUGGCAUUCGACAAGUCAUGGUGGGUUUAUUCUUGCAAUGUGGAUUUGCCACCAAAGCUCUAGCUGUUUGUGAUAGGAUGUGGUUGUGGCUCUUGGAUUGAUUCUGAUCGGCUAACAUACUUGUAGUGGCUUUAAAUCCAUUUCCUGGAAUUACAUUUCUGAUGGAUUCCUAUGGAACUGGUUCUUCAUUGGAUCCAUUUGUAUUGGAACAAAUGCUAAUGUGGUGACGUUGAUUACAUUUGGGGCAUACUCUUCGAGAGGGACAGUUACGACUAAAAUGAUCGCGACGCAAACAGAUAAAACAUCUCCCUUUCUUUGUCCGCAAAUCCCUUCUGGCUUGAAUAUUAGUAAUAUUCUUACAGGAGUUGGAUGCAUGUUGUCCAUGACAGUAAGUACAAGUUGGUAGGGAUUGGUUGGUUGUAAAUAGGGCUGCAGACGUAGAAUAGUUAUUAUACAGGGGUAUGCGCAUGUUUGUGGACUGGCGCGGUCUUGCAAGGGUAGCUGAGCUUGUGUAAUCUUGAGUUCUCUCCCUUGCUGACAAUUCAUGUUCGAUGAGUUUAAUCAAAUGGUCCAGAUUCCAACCCUCUUCAGAUAUUUCCCGGCUAAUAAUUAGUCGCAAUUCACGUGAUGGUUACCAAAUCGUCUCUGCAAAAUAGAAACUGCUUCAGAAUAAUUAAGAGAAGUCAAGGCUAAUCCGGAAACGGCUACAGCUGCUGGUCCCUCCAAACAGGCAUUUUUAAAUAAGUAGUUAAACUUAUCGAUAUCUGAAAGAUUGUCAUUAUGAUGGAUGGCUGUGCUAAAUGAAUCCCAGAACGUCUGCCACGUGGAUGGAUCUCCUCGAAACUUUUCCAAGUCUAGUUUGGGUAAACUUAUGUGGAUUGAUAGGCUAAGGUAUGAGACUGAUGCACGUGUGAGGUUGACUGGUGCCAAGUUUACGGCAAUUGGGUUAGCACUAACAGAUGGUGAGUUGGCAGUUGAUUGGGGUUGUAUCAACUGGAUUAUGGGUGGGUGAAGUAGAUUGGUUACUUGAAUUAGGUGACUGUGGAUCGAUUCCAAUAACUGGUUCUGUAACAAGAUUGGCCUGGUCUUGCUGGCUGUCUGUGGUAAUGGGUGUUGGGCUCGGCAACUUCAAAAAUUCGAGCAUGGUCUGUAGUCCAAUUCCUUCAGUCCCUCUGACUGUUCUAUCUCAUGUUUUAUUUCUGCCUCAUCUAUAAAAUUCAAAACUUGAUCGCCGAAAUUCAUAUAUGUCUGUAAUUUACUGUCUAAGGCUUGUUUGGUUUGGGAUAAAUUAAUGACAUGUUCGGAAAUCUCAUCUGCUUUCGACAAGGAUUGACAGAUCAACAAUAACCCUGUCUUGUUUUAAAAUCCUUAUUUGUGCGGGCGUGAUACAAGUUUGUUUGGGUCGUUCAGCAGUCAAAAGUAGAGAAUAAAAUUACGAAGUUAAGUAGAUUUCUUUGGAUUGUUCCAUGAGUUACAUUAGAAUCGAUCCGUCUGGAUGUAGGAUAUUUCCUUUAUAUUGGCGACUCAAAGUCUAUGGAUGGAUGGUUCAUUUGGAAAACAACAGGUGGAUUUUUAGGACUGUAUUUAAUGGAUUACAUUUUACAACUCAUUUAUCAAGUCUUUUCUAAUUAUAUAGAAUUUGUAAUCGUGACAUUCGCGACUAUAGCUUUGGACAAGAUUGAUUUUCAAACGCUAGAGCGCAACAGUACCGGCAGCAACCGGAGACGACCGAAAACGAACAAUACUAAAUACAAUAAUAUUUAAUUCACCGACACAGCCCCAGAAGAUAAAAACUAGCCCUAUUCUAAGUACUAGAUGUGUUAGUGUCCUACCUGUUGUGUAAAUUAUCCAUUAAAUCCUACCUUACUUGUCCAGAGGGUUCGAAAAUAUUUUUAAAUCCAAGUCACAUUUGAAAAGCUUUACGUUAGGCUUUUCAAAUCAUUUGAGAGCCAUUUCUAUCAAGGGAGGUAAUAAGCUCCAAAUUUGAUUGACUUCCUGUUCUAAGAAUAGCUUUCCAUAAUGUCACCACCGGGAUAUCCCCCGCGUGUGGUUAAUGGCAUUCUAUAGACAGUCCUUCCGCGGAUAAUCUGCUUGUAUUGUUUACAGAUAUAUAGGCUAGCCUAUAACACGCCGGUGUGAAUACUUGUCUACGAUAUCACCUAUGGUGGAAGUGGACUAAAAACUUCAGGAACGAACGAACGGUGUCAGUAUCAUCAUUCGACAUUGAUUGACAAGUGUUGAUUUUUUCCGUCGAUUGACAAGUCGGAAGUAAUAUUUAAGUCACGCGUGUAAUUAUUAGUAGAUCAUUAUGUCUAUUGAUUCUGCUAAGAAGCGCAAACAAGCGGGAUAUCGGAGAGAUGGUCGUUAACAAAUGUGAAUUUGGUAACAGAGCAGAUUAGGUGGGAAGAAUUGAAGGACUAAUUGAUAUAAGUUGACUGAACAUAGAAAGCCGUGAAGAAUGGGCAACCAGACAAAGCUGUUAUUAUAUAUAAUAAUACAGGUAAAUUGCAACAAAAAAAAUAUGUUAUCAAUAAAAACUAAAUUCAACCUAUUCUUAUAAGCUUAUUAUUUGCCAUGGGAAAACAUCAUUUUUAAAAAAAAACAAAACAUUAAUUGUUUAUGUUUAUAAAAGACGCAAAAUAUUGUUUCUAUUCUUUCGCAAUUCAAGGGCAGAUCUAGUGGGGAACGCACCAGAUUCUUGUUUCAUAUGACUGGAAAUAGGGAGGCCACCUGCAUGGUCUUCGUGCUCGCAAAGUCCGAAUUAGUUGCCUGUGUCCACCCUUUAUCCAUGGUCUCUGAAUCCGCCUUUGUAAUUUUUAAUUUUCCAUUUUUAUUUUUUAUUGUUGACUGGGCUUUUGCACCAAUGAAAGGAGCCAAGCAUUAUGGCUUCAUGUUAUCCUUGCUGUAUAUUAUGGUGAAGACCCCUGGGCCCAGAUGCCAGUCAAAUCUAUAAACCUUAGCCUCGGCAGAUCACAGCACAUUCGCACACAAACCCCGUGAAAUUAUACCUUGGACGCUACCCUGCAAAAGGCAAUGUGUCUUUAUUUAUGGAAACAAAAUCGAAUAGGCGUACGUAUUAUUGAUCUCACAUCUCAUACCCAUACAGGUCUAAGCAUACUAUGUGGCUUCUCUGGCACAUUCUAAGGAAACGAUAUCACCCUAGGUGGAAACGGGCAUUAAACCUAAAGCCAAAUCAUGAAGGAAAAGACCACUGGGUGGGGCUGACCUCUGAAAGAUUGCUGGGACCAUUGCCACAACCAAGCCUGAACCAACUUCAGAAAUAGCCGACAAGAAAGAGAACACGAUUUUAAUGUGGAAACGGGCAUUAAACCUAAAGCCAAAUCAUGAAGGAAAAGACCACUGGGUGGGGCUGACCUCUGAAAGAUUGCUGGGACCAUUGCCACAACCAAGCCUGAACCAACUUCAGAAAUAGCCGACAAGAAAGAGAACACGAUGUUAAUUAAACCGGGUAAUUUGAAAAGGAGUGAAAUGAAGGCCUUUUAACUACUGCUGUUCGACUACCUACGCCUAUGACAUUAGUGUUCCAACUUCCUUGAUGAAAUCUUUCGAAGAAUAUUAUGACAAAAAAAAUCAAUUACUGGUUGUAAAGAAAUACAAUUCUCUGGUCUGUUACCACAACAUAUAUAUAGGCAUAACUCCACAUCUGUCACAGGAAUUGGAUUUGGUGAUUGGCUUGACUGUUGAUUCACAACUUCUUCCAAAAUAUCAAACAAAAUUAAAGGCAUUAUUUCAGCAAAAGACAACGAAUGUCUCCUUCGUCCAUCUACUUCUAGCUCAUUUCCCAUUUUCUGAAAUUUGAAAAUUGUGUUAGCAAUUUGUAAAUAGUUAUCCCGCAGCUCAUAAUAUACUGUUUGAAUAUUUUAUAUAAUUAUCAGAUAUGACCAUACAUAUUUUUGUAUUUCUUUGUAAAUAUAUCAGCUUAUUUUUUUAUAAAUUAAUUAUUUAAAAAUAGCUGCUCCUCUUGAGCUAAUAUUUUUUGUUUUUUUUAUAUAAUUACAAGAAAGUGUGUAAAAAAUAAUCCAUCG